ensembl:lncRNA
ACUGUUUAUUCACCAACACUUUAUUUAAUAAAAGUCCCAUCUAGUUUUUAUGAGGAAUGUGAUGUUUUAAUUUCUCUGUGAAUAACUGCAGUCUAAUGCAACAGCUGGAGUUGUAACAUCUGUCCUGAUAUUGAUCAUGAAGUAUUGAUCAGAAUACUUAUGGUCAGCAGUCAUCCCUGAAGUUUUACAUUAAAAUCUUUACUUGUGUUGUGAACUUUGGUAAGAAGCAGAAACGUUAGCGUUGCCAUGGAUACAUGAGUGUUAAAUUCUGUCCAUGUUUCCAUUUUGGGAAAUUCAGUCCAGUUCCAGAAUGUGGAGGAAUUUAGUCUCACAAUCACAGACAACAAAUAUUAUCUGAAAGUCGGGUUAUUGUUGUUUAUCAGCACAAUACAAAAAGAUUAAUGUUAGAAAUAUUCCAGUUAAGACUCUAGAAUAUCAUGAUUUAUGUAAAUUUACCUCAAUAAUAUGAAUGUUCCGGUUAAGAUUGAACAGUGAUAUUUAUUAUGUAAGUUUAGCUGAUUAAAGUUUAUGACUCUGCACUAAAAUAUUACUUAAAUUGACAUCAUUAUUAUAAUAUUUAGGGUCAGACCCUACAGUAUUGAAAUUAAGAAAUCAAAUAUUCUAUAAAAUGUAAAUACACUGAACUCAUUUGGAUAUAUUUAAGUGAGACUCUACAAUAUUAUUUGACACAAAUCUAUCUAAAUCAAAAUUUUAAUCAUUGUUACUCCAAGCAUUUACUGGACUGAUUUAAAUAUUAAAAUCACUCCUUUCUAAUCCUCUGCUGUACGUUCAAACCUGAGGCCUUAAAUAGAAACACACAAGUAUCUGAUUGAAGGAACUUCUGCAGAGUCCUGGUUCCAGAAGAUGAUGAUAGAAUUAUAGACAAACUUUAACAAAAGCUGCCUGAGAGUUUACAGGUUUUUAUGUUAGAUUUCUUCAGUAAUUUAAUGAGCGUUAUCAGCAAUAAUCAAGUGUUCAUUUGAUGAACUUCAUUUCCUAAAACAUCCAGAAUUGGAGCUCAUAUCUUUGGCAGCUGUAAAGUUUCUGCUCCUUCAAAGUUCACAACACAAUGAAUGAAUUCCUAAAACUCUCUCAAUGCUGGACAGCGUUUGUGAUGCUGAAGCAGUGAUCAGUUUUUCUGUUUCUUCUCUGGAGAUGCACAAUGAGGGACGUCUGCAGAGACUGAGAAAGAGUCUCACCACAUCCUGACAUGAGGAAAAAGACUUUAUUGAAGACUACAAUGAGAAAAACUAUCAGACAGCAGACGGCUGCAUUCAAGGUGAGCUCUGAACAUUUGAUCUGGAACAGGAAUUCAAUAACGGCAGCAUGAGCUUCAUUUCAGUCUGUAGCUGCUGAAUUCAUGGAUGAAUCAUCUGGCACUAGAGAGGAAGACCAUCAAACAUCCACGUCAGCUGAUGGAGGUCCAAGAGUCUCACCCAACAAACAACCUACAGAGUGAAGACCUCGAAUCUGAUUGGACGGCCUCCUAUUCAGCCACAUUUUAGGCUGUUAGAUUGUUCCAGAUAAGACAAGUACAAGAUUCUUCAGAGCCGUUCUACCACGAGCCUGACAGGAAGAACUCCAACAGCUACUGAAUGUUCCUGUGGUCCCCUCAAGGCUACAGGAGGAGCCCUACGAGGACGAGCCGGUCCACCUGAUGGCGGCCAGUCGCUGCGGUUCAAAGCCAACACCGACUACGUGGACUUCUACUGGACCACAUGGAGGCCUUCAAACCAGACCAACAAGUUCAGCGACUCCCCGACUCGUGGGUCUGAGGACGCCGCCGAGCCUCGGUCCAGCCGGCCUCCUGUCUGUGGGUGUUUGAGUGCUGAGAGGUUUGUGGAUGGAUGUGAACGUGUCUGUGUUGAAACAGCAGCUUUGGACUCAGUAACGCUGGGAAAAACCAAGAGCUCCUUUAUUUGUGACUUCCACUAAAAUACUGAUGAUAAUAAGUUUGCCAGGGUUCUGACUGAUAACAGAUUAUUAAAUAAUGAAAAUAAUCAUUUAAAUAUUCCUUUAAACAAUCCUUUUAGGUCUACAUUUCCUUUACACUGACUUCUUGGUAUUUUGGGUGGAAUAUACAAUUAAGCCAGACGUUCAAGGGUUCUUCUGGGAAUAUACCAUUAAACCAACCU